UACGUAGGGAGCAAGCGUUGUUCGGAUUCAUUGGGCGUAAAGGGUGCGUAGGUGGCGCGCUAAGUCAGGUGUGAAAUUUCGGAGCUUAACUCCGAAACUGCAUUCGAUACUGGCGUGCUUGAGGACUGGAGAGGAGACUGGAAUUUACGGUGUAGCAGUGAAAUGCGUAGAUAUCGUAAGGAAGACCAGUGGCGAAGGCGGGUCUCUGGACAGUUCCUGACACUGAGACACGAAGGCCAGGGGGGCAAACGGG
rnacentral:rRNA from 1 species